rnacentral:rRNA from 1 species
ACGCUCGACACCUACGGAGGCAGCAGUGGGGAAUAUUGCACAAUGGGGGAAACCCUGAUGCAGCGACGCCGCGUGAGCGAAGAAGUAUUUCGGUAUGUAAAGCUCUAUCAGCAGGGAAGAAAAUGACGGUACCUGACUAAGAAGCCCCGGCUAACUACGUGCCAGCAGCCGCGGUAAUCUGAGCGGGCUGGCAAGGC